rnacentral:rRNA from 1 species
AUGAACAAUGAUGUAGGAGAUGAACACGAACCAACGCCUAUAAGGCACUGGACAGCCACCUCAUCUCAUGAUGUAUACAUGGUGGACACACCCAAAGGAAGCGACGAUGAGGAACACAGGGAUGCAACGAGGGAUCGUUCACUCGAAAAGCAAUCAAAGCGGCGACGUAAGCACCGCUCCAAGCCCCGCCUCGACAGAGACAACAGCCAUACAAACCCAGCCAUAGAGCAGGAUGAGCCGGCGGACGACGAACAUGCCUUCGAGCAAGCGUCCGAACAGGGAAACUUGGAUAAACAAACCGAACACCCCGUCCCCGGCGAAAACAACAGUCCGGACGACCUUACGCCGGAUAAACUCAUGGAGCAGAAGAACCUCCACAAAAGGCUCGUCGCCACUGCGCAUAGCCUGAAAAAGCAGAAGCGGAAGCUCAAAACUGCGGAAUAUGCACUCAGAAUCAGAUGGAGCAAAGUACGCAACACCGCAGACAAAUAUGCCGGCAGUUGUCACGACCGGGUUUUCUGGGUAUAA